GCAUUGUUGGUCCAGCGGUAGGAUAUUUGCCUUCCAUCUACUACACCCCUCAGUAGGGCGAGCAAAUGGCUCGGGUUCGACUCCCGGACAAUGCA